AUUGAACGCUGGCGGAAUGCUUUACACAUGCAAGUCGAACGGCAGCACGGGUGCUUGCACCUGGUGGCGAGUGGCGAACGGGUGAGUAAUACAUCGGAACGUACCCAGUUAUGGGGGAUAACUAACCGAAAGGUUAGCUAAUACCGCAUACGCCCUGAGGGGGAAAGCGGGGGACCAUAAGGCCUCGCGUAAUUGGAGCGGCCGAUGUCUGAUUAGCUAGUUGGUGAGGUAAAGGCUCACCAAGGCGACGAUCAGUAGCAGGUCUGAGAGGAUGAUCUGCCACACUGGAACUGAGACACGGUCCAGACUCCUACGGGAGGCAGCAGUGGGGAAUUUUGGACAAUGGGGGCAACCCUGAUCCAGCAAUGCCGCGUGAGUGAAGAAGGCCUUCGGGUUGUAAAGCUCUUUUGUCAGGGAAGAAAAGGUUCGGGCUAAUAUCCCGGGUUCAUGACGGUACCUGAAGAAUAAGCACCGGCUAACUACGUGCCAGCCGCCGCAGUAA
rnacentral:rRNA from 1 species